UCUGAUUAGCUAGUUGGUGAGGUAAAGGCUCACCAAGGCGACGAUCAGUAGCUGGUCUGAGAGGACGACCAGCCACACUGGAACUGAGACACGGUCCAGACUCCUACGGGAGGCAGCAGUGGGGAAUUUUGGACAAUGGGCGCAAGCCUGAUCCAGCAAUGCCGCGUGAGUGAAGAAGGCCUUCGGGUUGUAAAGCUCUUUUGUCAGGGAAGAAACGGGUGAGGCUAAUAUCCUUGCCUAAUGACGGUACCUGAAGAAUAAGCACCGGCUAACUACGUGCCAGCAGCCGCGGUAAUACGUAGGGUGCAAGCGUUAAUCGGAAUUACUGGGCGUAAAGCGUGCGCAGGCGGUUGUGCAAGACAGAUGUGAAAUCCCCGGGCUCAACCUGGGAAUUGCAUUUGUGACUGCACGGCUAGAGUGUGUCAGAGGGGGGUAGAAUUCCACGUGUAGCAGUGAAAUGCGUAGAUAUGUGGAGGAAUACCGAUGGCGAAGGCAGCCCCCUGGGAUAACACUGACGCUCAUGCACGAAAGCGUGGGGAGCAAACAGGAUUAGAUACCCUGGUAGUCCACGCCCUAAACGAUGUCUACUAGUUGUCGGGUCUUAAUUGACUUGGUAACGCAGCUAACGCGUGAAGUAGACCGCCUGGGGAGUACGGUCGCAAGAUUAAAACUCAAAGGAAUUGACGGGGACCCGCACAAGCGGUGGAUGAUGUGGAUUAAUUCGAUGCAACGCGAAAAACCUUACCUACCCUUGACAUGUACGGAAGGCCGAAGAGAUUUGGCUGUGCUCGAAAGAGAACCGUAACACAGGUGCUGCAUGGCUGUCGUCAGCUCGUGUCGUGAGAUGUUGGGUUAAGUCCCGCAACGAGCGCAACCCUUGUCAUUAGUUGCUACGAAAGGGCACUCUAAUGAGACUGCCGGUGACAAACCGGAGGAAGGUGGGGAUGACGUCAAGUCCUCAUGGCCCUUAUGGGUAGGGCUUCACACGUCAUACAAUGGUACAUACAGAGGGCCGCCAACCCGCGAGGGGGAGCUAAUCCCAGAAAGUGUAUCGUAGUCCGGAUUGUAGUCUGCAACUCGACUACAUGAAGUUGGAAUCGCUAGUAAUCGCGGAUCAGCAUGUCGCGGUGAAUACGUUCCCGGGUCUUGUACACACCGCCCGUCACACCAUGGGAGCGGGUUCUGCCAGAAGUAGUUAGCCUAACCGCAAGGAGGGC
rnacentral:rRNA from 1 species